rnacentral:lncRNA from 1 species
CAAGGGAAGGUCAUGCCUGACCAAUCUGGUGGCCUUCUAUGAUGGAGUGAUGACAUCACUGGACAAAGGUUGGAAUUGGUUGGAAGAUUAUCAGGGCUGGAACACCUCUCCUAUGAAGACGGGUUGAAGGAGCUGGGCUUGUUCAGUCUGGAGAAGAGAAGACUGCAGGGAGACCUCAUUACAGGCUUCCAGUAUUUAAAGGAAGCAACUGUGGGUGCCCCGUCCCUGGAGGCGUUCAAGGCCAGGUUGGAUGGGGCCCUGCACAGCCUGAGCUGGUGGGAGCAACCAGCCCAUGGCAGAGGAUGGGGCUGGGUGGGGCUUUGAGUUCCAUUCUGACCCAAGCCAUUCUGUGAUUCUAUGACAUUGUUUGGCAGUGUCACACAAGGUGUCCCUGCCACUGAAGCUCUCUGCUCCUGACCUCUGCACCCAGGCCAGCCUCUCACUGGAGUCCUGCCUUGGCCUGCUCCCCACCUUGCUCCAAUGGCAGGCCUCUUGCAGGGACAUCUGGCAGAUACCCUGCAGCUGGGGUCAGGUUCCUGCUCUGCAGAUCAAGGACACCUUUCCUCAUCUACCCCUGCUGCACAGAAGGAGUAAUGAUGCCAGAGCAGGGCACAGAAACAAAAUCAGGGCCAUAUGUUGUAUUUGUUCCAGCGACUGUGUGGCUCACAUUGCAGAACAAGGCACACAGAGCUACAUAUGGCAAAGGAACAGGAGGCAGCAGAGCAACCACAGAGUGCAGGAUGCUCCUGGCAAUUUGCAAAGUGCUGUGAGCAGGAUAUGCCAAGAAUUCUAUAUCUAAACAUCCACCAAAUGUCCUCUGUCUCUGUAAAAGUCUCCAGGCCCCUUACCCUGAAAGCUAGGAAACUUUUUUUAUGCAUAACUACAUCAGAAUUGUCCUUGUGCAAACCUGGGCCUUUUGACUGAUAGGAGGAAACUGCCCAGACAGUUCCUUGGAGUGAAUCUCCUUUUCUCUGCCUUUGCCCUAGACCUGUAGUCACCAAGACAGACAUCCUAUCUGCUAUCGAAGGCUGAAACUGCAUCCUCUACUUGUCUUUUUGGCAGUCUCAUUACACCAAGCCCUCCCUGACAUGGCUUUCAGCCAGGGGGGAUUCACUCUUAUCUGAGUGAGUGUUGUCUGGAGGAAUGCAAGAUAGAAAGCACUGAGCAGAACCAUAUUCACCCUGCUGCUCUGCAUUGCACUUAGAAAGCUGUCUUCAGCAUUGCUAUUAGUCAUGCUCACAUGCAGUGCUCUUUUCAGAUUUUUUGAAGAAUUGCACUGAAUUAAUAAUACCUACUUUCAUAAUGGCUUUCAGGCUGAGCUUUCAAAAUGUUUACACAUGGAAGAUGAGCACUGAUGGGUAACUUGCAGAUGACUCAGUCAUUUAGUGGCAAAGCAGAAACAGAACUGGAGUUUCCUAUUUAGCACACCCUGAUACAGGGGGCAAAAUGCUGCCCUGGGGUUUGGCUUGCCCGUAUGCACGAUGUAAGAAAAGUGAUUCGUGGAAGGUGAUAGUUUACAUGGUGUGACAACUGUUGGGGUAGAUUUUGGGGAUCAGACCUAUUUUUUCAUUUCAUAUCCGUCUAGAACCCAACACACUGUGUCUUUCUGUUUCCAAUGAGCUGUUAGUGAUAACAGUAUCAGAAUUCAGAGCAGCCUCUGCAUUUUCUGACCAAAUAUUUCUUCUGUAGAUUAAAUAUCUAAUCAUAAUAAAAGUGAAUAAAGAUGCA